rnacentral:misc_RNA from 1 species
UUAACGAGGAAGGGUUUCCGAAAGGAGCCCGAACUCCCCACCCUUUGCUGUUGCGAAUCUGUUGCUUCGGCGGGCCCGCCCCCCCAUCCCUGGGGGGCCGGCCGGGCCUCACCGCCCGGACAGCGCCCGCCGGAGGACCGAAUCAACUCUGUUUUUAACCAUAAUGUCGGAGUACUUUUGUACAAUCAAAUUAAAACUUUCAACAACGGAUCUCUUGGUUCUGGCAUCGAUGAAGAACGCAGCGAAAUGCGAUAAGUAAUGUGAAUUGCAGAAUUCAGUGAAUCAUCGAAUCUUUGAACGCACAUUGCGCCCCUUGGUAUUCCGAGGGGCAUGCCUGUUCGAGCGUCAUUUCACCAAUCAAGCCCCGCUUGGUAUUAGGCGCCUGGCCGGCCCCCCGUGGCCGGCCCGCCCGAAAUGCAUCGGCGAGGCACCGACCCCCGGCGUGUUAGAAUUUCGAAACGUCAGGAGCACCGGUGUUAACCUCCGCCGUGAAACCUUUCAAACUAUUUUUCUAAGGUUGACCUCGGAUCAGGUAGGAAUACCCGCUGAACUUAAGCAUAUCAAUAAGCGGAGGAAAAGAAACCAACAGGGAUUGCCUCAGUAACGGCGAGUGAAGCGGCAACAGCUCAAAUUUGAAAUCUGGCGUCUUCGGCGUCCGAGUUGUAAUUUGUAGAGGAUGCUAUUGAGUUGUCACCGGUCUAAGUUCCUUGGAACAGGACGUCACAGAGGGUGAGAAUCCCGUAUGUGACCGGCCAGACGCUCUCUGUAUAGCUCCUUCGACGAGUCGGGUUGUUUGGGAAUGCAGCCCUAAAUGGGAGGUAAAUUUCUUCUAAAGCUAAAUACCGGCCAGAGACCGAUAGCGCACAAGUAGAGUGAUCGAAAGAUGAAAAGCACUUUGGAAAGAGAGUUAAAAAGCACGUGAAAUUGUUGAAAGGGAAGCGCUUGCAAUCAGUCUCGACGGCGGCUGUUCGGCCUCUCUUCUGAGUGGUUUAUUCAGUCGCCGCCGGGCCAGCAUCAGUUCUGGCGGUCGGAUAAAGGCGCAGGGAAUGUAGCUCCUCUCGGGGAGUGUUAUAGCCCUGUGUGCAAUACGGCCCGCCGGGA